ACGGCGAGUGAAGAGGAAAGAGCUCAAAGUUGGAACCUGUUUGGCUUAGCUAAACCGGAUUGUAAACUGUAGAAGUGUUUUCCAGACACGCCUGGUAAAAAAGUCCUUUGGAACAGGGCAUCAUAGAGGGUGAGAAUCCCGUCAUUGGCCAGAGCUGUUGUCUUUUGUGAUACAUUUUCAAAGAGUCAGGUUGUUUGGGAAUGCAGCCUAAAUUGGGUGGUAAAUCUCACCUAAAGCUAAAUAUUUGCGAGAGACCGAUAGCGAACAAGUACCGUGAGGGAAAGAUGAAAAGAACUUUGAAAAGAGAGUUAAACAGUAUGUGAAAUUGUUAAAAGGGAACCGUUUGGAGCCAGACUGGCUUGAUCGUAAUCACUCUAGGCUUUGGCCUGGAUGCACUUGCGGUCUAUGCCGGCCAACGACAGUUUUGUUUGAGGGAAAAAAUUACAUUGAAUGUGGCCCCUCGGGGUGUUAUAGCUUUGUAAAAAAUACCUUGGACGGGACUGAGGAACGCAGCGAAUGCCUUUAGGCGAGAUUGCUGGGUGCUUGCGCUGAUACAUGCUAGAAUUUCUGCUUCGGGUGGUGCUAGUGUGUAAAGGAGUAACCCGCUUAGUAUAUUUUUUAUUCGCUUAGGUUGUUGGCUUAAUGACUCUAAAUGACCCGUCUUGAAACACGGACC
rnacentral:rRNA from 1 species